GAAUGUAAAACCCCACAAAGCUUCCUUAUUAGUCUUAGUGGAGUUGGAUUGUAGUAUUCUGAAAGUGGAGUUUGGUCAUUUGUUCCUUCAUGCAGCGAUAUAACUCAUCAAAACAUUUUAUCUCAAUAUUCCUUCCUUAUAUCAGGUUUUGAUGUUACUGUAGACCACUUUUAUUGAAGCUCUGUCUCUUAUGCAAUACUUAUUUCUAGCUCCAGAAGUAGUCUGAAUCACAGACUUGUUACAUCAGAAGAGAUGGUGGCAUCUGUAGUCGUCUUUCUUACCAUGGCAAUACUCUCAGGAUAUUGUGCUGGUCUAGAAGUGCUUCCUCCUGGACCUGUGAAUGGAACAUUGGGAGGAAACGUGUUUUUCAAAACCACCAUCAAUCCAACGACACUUAGUGCAAUCGUCUGGACUUUUGGUGAUACCCCUGUCAUCAUGGUUGACUUUCUCAGUUCUGAAGGUCCUGUGACCGGAGAGGGAUAUGUUGGCAGGAUCAGACUGGACAAUAGCACUGGAUCUCUGGAGCUCUUGAAACUGACCAUUGCUGACAAUGGAGAAUACAGAGUGAACCUAAGAGAGUCUGAUUUGAUGUAUUUGUCAAAUACUUCACUGAAUGUCUAUGAAACAGUAUCAGGUGCUACUAUCACAAUUACCCCAAACCCACCAAUCAUCGAGGGGGGCUCUGUCACUUUAACCUGUGAUGCAGCUGGCUUCAACAUCACCAGAGAGUGGAUGAAGGAUGGUCAUCCUGUGUCUUCCUGUGACGAUAUCAUAUUAUCUGUGGAUAAGAGAGUGCUGUCCAUAAAGAAGAGAACAGACAGUGGCGAAUACCUGUGUAGAGUCAGCAACCAUGUCAGCUCUGAAAAUGCCAGUGACACUGUGAAUGUAAUCUAUGGACCUGAUGGUAUGGAAAUCAAGGGUCCAAAUGAAAUAGAAGUAGGACAGAAGUUUACAUUGACCUGCUCUGCCUACUCCAACCCACCUACUAGUUACACCUGGAUGCACAAUGAGACAGAGAUACCUGGACAUUCCCCUGAGUUCACUAAAGAGAAAAGUGAAUACUCUGACAGUGGGGAAUACACCUGUUCAGCAACAAAUGAUGUCACCGGAAACAAAACAUCUGUGGUCCAUAAACUGUCAGUAAAAGCGGAGGGCUCUCCGACUCCAGACGGGCUGUCUGUUGUUGUCAUCACUGGGACUGUGAUUAUAGUGUUGCUGGUUGUGGAAGUGGCAGUUAGUGUUGCAGUCUAUUUCAUCAAGAAAAAUGGAAGCAAUGUUGAGCCAAUGCAUCGAGGAGGCUCGCAACAACAUGUAUAUGAGAACCCAUCACCUGUGUAUGAGAACCCAUCACCUGUGUAUGAGAACCCAUCACCUGUGUAUGAGAGCCCAUCACCUGUGCGUGACAACACACAACAAAAUCAAUCUCCACCUCUACCCCUGACAGACUUCAAGAGUACCUAUGAUACAAGGAUAAUGCAGUAAGAGGUCAGGAAGAGAUCUCCAUUCAACCACCAUUCUCCAGUUCCACAAUCAACACAAAGAAAACCUGCAUGAUAACACCCAGUGUGGAUCUGAAAUGUGCACCUUGUGCUGGGGGACAAUAAAAGGCCAGGACCUCCACAUCUGUCUUCUUCCCCUGCGGAAUCAUCUGAGACCAGCCACUCAGACAGCUGAUGAAACUGUGGGUUUGCACAACAGAAGAAUUUCAGCACAAACUGUCAAACUGUCUAAGGGAAGCUCAUCAGUGUGCUUGUCAUCUUCACCAGGGACUUGACCUGACUGCAGUUAGGUGUCGUAACUGACUUCAGUGGGCAAAUGCUCACCUUCGAUGGCCACUGGCACGCUGGAGAAGUGCGCUCUUCACGGAUGAAUCCCGGUUGUACGGAAUUGUGUGGGCGAGCGGUUUGCUGAUGUCAACGUUGUGAACAGAGUGCCCCGUGGUGGAUGUGGGGUUAUGGUACGGCCUGGCAUAAGCUAAGGACAAUGAACACAAUUACAUUUUAUCAAUGGCAAUUUGCAUGCAUGACGAGAUCCUGGAGGCCCGUCCUCGUGCCAUUCACACACCAUCAUCACCUCAUGUUUCAGCAUGAUAAUGCACGGCCCCAUGUCGCAAGGAUCUGUACACAAUUCCUGGAAGCUGAAAAUGUCCUAGUUCUUCCAUGGCCUGCAUACUCACCAGACAUUUCACCUAUUGAGCAUGUUUGGGAUGCUCUGGAUCGAUGUGUACGACAGCGUGUUCCAGUUCCAGCCAAUAUCCAGAAACUUUCCUUAGCCAUUGAGUGGGACCACAUUCCACAGGCCACAAUCAACAGCCUGAUCAACUCUAUGUGAAGGAAAUGUGUCGCGCUGCAUGAGGCAAAUGGUGAUCACACCAGAUACUGGUGUUUUUUGUUGUUAAUCCAAGCACCUACCUUUGUUUUUAUCGUAUCUGGGACCAACAUUCCUAGUCAUGUAAACUACAUAGAUUAGUACCUAAUUAAUUUAUUUUGAUUGACUGAUUACUUUAUAUGAACUGUAACUCAGUAAAAUCUUAAUUGUU